GCCUACGACCAUAUCACCCUGAAUGCGCCCGAUCUCGUCUGAUCUCGGAAGCUAAGCAUGGUCGAGCCUGGUUAGUACUUGGAUGGGAGACUGCCAGGGAAUACCAGGUGUUGUAGGCU
ensembl:rRNA 5S_rRNA 5S ribosomal RNA